rnacentral:misc_RNA from 1 species
GAAAUGCGAUAAGUAAUGUGAAUUGCAGAAUUCAGUGAAUCACCGAAUCUUUGAACGCACAUUGCGCCCGCCAGCACUCUGGCGGGCAUGCCUGUUCGAGCGUCAUUUCAACCCUCAGAACCCCUUGCGGGAUCUGGCGUUGGGGAUUGGCAUCCAGCCAGCCCCGAAAUCUAGUGGCGGUCCCUCCGCGACCUCCCCUGUGCAGUAGCGAUACCUCGCAGCGGGACAGCGGUCUGACCACGCCGUAAAACCCCCAACUUCUCAAGGUUGACCUCGAAUCAGGUAGGAAUACCCGCUGAACUUAAGC